UACGUAGGGGGGCAAGCGUUUGUCCGGAAUUAUUGGGCGUAAAGAGCGUGUAGGCGGUCCGGUAAGUCGGCUGUGAAAGUCCAGGGGCUCAACCCUGGGGAUGCCGGUCGAUACUGCCGGACUAGAGUUCGGAAGAGGCGAGUGGAAUUCCCGGUGUAGCGGUGAAAUGCGCAGAUAUCGGGAGGAACACCGGUGGCGAAGGCGGAUCUCUGGGCCUUACCUGACGCUCAGGUGCGAAAGCUAGGGGAGCGAACAGG
rnacentral:rRNA from 1 species